rnacentral:rRNA from 1 species
UACGUAGGGUGCGAGCGUUGUCCGGAAUUAUUGGGCGUAAAGAGCUCGUAGGCGGCUUGUCGCGUCGGAUGUGAAAGCCCGGGGCUUAACUCCGGGUCUGCAUUCGAUACGGGCAGGCUAGAGUUCGGUAGGGGAGGUCGGAAUUCCUGGUGUAGCGGUGAAAUGCGCAGAUAUCAGGAGGAACACCGGUGGCGAAGGCGGAUCUCUGGGCCGAUACUGACGCUGAGGAGCGAAAGCGUGGGGAGCGAACAGG